AUUGAACGCUGGCGGCAGGCCUAACACAUGCAAGUCGAGCGGAGCGGCGGGCGGAUGAGUAAUGCCUAGGAAUCUGCCUGGUCGUGGGGGAUAACGUCCGGCAACGGGCGCUAAUACAGCAUACUCUCAGAUGAGCAUAGGUCGGAUUAGCUAGUUGGUGGGGUAAAGGCCUACCAAGGCGACGAUCCGUAACUGGUCUGAGAGGAUGAUCAGUCACACUGGAACGGAGACACGGUCCAGACUCCUACGGGAGGCAGCAGUGGGGAAUAUUGGACAAUGGGCGAAAGCCUGAUGCAGCCAUGCCGCGUGUGUGAAGAAGGCCUUAGGAUUGUAAAGCACUUUAAGUUGGGAGGCGUUACCAACAGAAGAAGCACCGGCUAACUUCGUGCCAGCCGCCGCGGUAAUAC
rnacentral:rRNA from 1 species